rnacentral:rRNA from 1 species
UGCCGCCCGUACCCCAAACCGACACUGGUGGUCAGGUAGAGAAUACCAAAGCGAUCGAGCGAAUCCUGGUCAAGGAACUCGGCAAAUUGCUCCCGUGCCUUCGGCAUAAGGGAGACCCCCUGCGGUGAUGAGCGGCGGGGGGUGGCACAGGCCAGGGGGUAGCGACUGUUUACCAAAAACACAGGAGCGUGCGAAGGCGCAAGCCGCUGUAUACGCUCUGACGCCUGCCCGGUGCCGGAAGGUUAAGAGGAUCCGUCAGGCCUCGGCCGAAGCGGUGAAUUCAAGCCCCGGUAAACGGCGGUGGUAACUAUAACCAUCCUAAGGUAGCGAAAUUCCUUGUCGGGUAAGUUCCGACCUGCACGAAUGGCGUAACGACUUCCCCACUGUCUCGACCAGGAGCUCGGCGAAAUUGCAGUACGAGUAAAGAUGCUCGUUAAGCGCAGAAGGACGAAAAGACCCCGGGACCUUUACUAUACCUUGGUAUUGGCAUUAGGCGCGGAUUGUGUAGCAUAGGCGGGAGGCUUCGAGGCGGGUGCGCCAGCAUCCGCGGAGCCGCAAGGUGAAAUACCGCUCUGUUCUCGUUUGAUGUCUAACCUCGAACAGUCAUCCUGUUCAGGGACAGUGCCUGGCGGGUAGUUCAACUGGGGCGGUUGCCUCCCAAAGAGUAACGGAGGCGCUCAAAGGUCCGCUCGGCCCGGUUGGCAAUCGGGUGUCGAGUGUAAUCGCACAAGCGGGCUUGACUGCGAGAUCGACGGAUCGAGCAGGGACGAAAGUCGGAGAUAGUGAUCCGGUGCCGGCGCACGGGCGCGGCAUCGCUCAACGGAUAAAAGGUACCCCGGGGAUAACAGGCUGAUCAUUCCCAAGAGUCCAUAUCGACGGGAUGGUUUGGCACCUCGAUGUCGGCUCGUCGCAUCCUGGGGCUGGAGCAGGUCCCAAGGGUUCGGCUGUUCGCCGAUCAAAGCGGCACGCGAGCUGGGUUCAGAACGUCGUGAGACAGUUUGGUCUCUAUCCUCUGCGCUCGUUGGAAUCUUGAGGAGGCCUGCCCAUAGUACGAGAGGACCUGGGUGGACGAACCUCUGGUAUGCCGGUCGUCACGCCAGUGGCGCGGCCGGUUGGCUACGUUCGGAAGGGAUAACCGCUGAAAGCAUCUAAGCGGGAAGCCUUCUCCAAGAUAAGGAUUCCAUGCGGCCCCGAGCCGCUGAAGACCCCAUGCAGAACACGUGGUCGAUAGGCCGGACGUGGAAGCCCCGCGAGGGGUGGAGCCGACCGGUACUAAUGGUCGAGAGGCAACCCACA